CAAAGGCUGUCUAUAUGAAGAUGAUAUAGAUUAAGCCUGGUCUAAAGGUCGUCUAUAUGAAGAUGAUAUAGAUUAAGCCUGGUCCAAAGGCUGUCUGGAUGAAGCAUCUUAAAGUAGGAGUGCUGAUUGAUGGUCAGCUUCCCCCUUUUUAGAUCCCAAUAAAUAAGGUUACAUGGACAGGGGGACCUGAUCCUAGAUCAGCUCUCCUACUCUGAGACACAUGAUACAUAACGGCCCCAUGGAGCAACAAUCGGUUUCUCUAUUGAACCUGCUAUUUAAAUGCAGAACUAGUCUUAAAUCGGUGUCCGGGAAACUGGCCUUACAUGUUGUCAGCUGGUUAAAGGCGCAAUCUGCAGUUCAAACUGGCCUUAAAUGUUGUCAGCAACGUAGCGCUGGUUAAAGGCGCAAUCUGCAGUUCAAACUAGAGGUCAAACUACAAAUCGAUAAUCAGCAUUUUUGGAGGCCGAUUAUGGCCAUGAUUGCAUUCAAUUCCAUGAGGAGACUGAGUGGCAGGCCGACCACCUGGUACGCGAGGGCAGCAAGGAGCCAAGGUAAGGUGCUAGCUAGCAU
rnacentral:lncRNA from 13 species